rnacentral:rRNA from 1 species
AGUGAACGCUGGCGGUAGGCCUAACACAUGCGGGUCGAACGGCAGCACAGUAAGAGCUUGCUCUUACGGGUGGCGAGUGGCGGACGGGUGAGGAAUACAUCGGAAUCUACUUUUUCGUGGGGGAUAACGUAGGGAAACUUACGCUAAUACCGCAUACGACCUACGGGUGAAAGCAGGGGAUCUUCGGACCUUGCGCGAUUGAAUGAGCCGAUGUCGGAUUAGCUAGUUGGCGGGGUAAAGGCCCACCAAGGCGACGAUCGGUAGCUGGUCUGAGAGGAUGAUCAGCCACACUGGAACUGAGACACGGUCCAGACUCCUACGGGAGGCAGCAGUGGGGAAUAUUGGACAAUGGGCGCAAGCCUGAUCCAGCCAUACCGCGUGGGUGAAGAAGGCCUUCGGGUUGUAAAGCCCUUUUGUUGGGAAAGAAAAGCAGCAGGUUAAUACCCCGCUGUUCUGACGGUACCCAAAGAAUAAGCACCGGCUAACUUCGUG